UAUAAAUUGAUUUUAAAAUAAAAAAUAUUUAAAAAAUAUUUAUUUUUUUAAAACUAAAACCUAUUAAGCAAUACCCGAGACAAUAUCAAAAAGCUAAAUUAAAACCAAUGUUAACCAUAACCCUAAAUUUAUCAUCAUUAUCAUCAUCAUCUUCUUCUUCUUUCCUUGGCAGGUGGCCGACGGCAGCUUCAUUUGGUGGAAGAGGCAUGGAUCUAAAGCUUAGGGCGGCAUAAGGACACGGGGUGGGUGAUAGAUCUAGGUUCUUUUUCUUCAAUUUUUUUUUUCAGGUACCUUGCCACGAGAUCUAAAGCUCGAGACGACUGGGGUGUGUGAUGGAUCUGAGUACAGGUAGAUCGCAGAGGCAGAUCUGGGCAAGGGCUGCAUUAAGCUUGAUCGCAUGGAGGGUAUGAGUUGUAGGGAGGUUCGAUCUAACUUAGGCUUGGACAUGGUUGGAAAGGGUUUGUCGCCGGGUUUGGUGCGAGGUCCGAUUGACAUAGGCUAGGUUGAGUGGAGGUAGGUCUCUGACGAGAUCUUCGACGUUAAGAUUAUAUAUGAUGAUGAUGAUGAUGAUGGACAGGCAGCUGCAACUGGGCGGAUGGAAGGUUGAAGAUGAAGAAGAAAGUCUGGGUUUUGUUAAUUUUUAGUUUAGGAUAGAUUUAAUUUUGGUUGAUUUUGUUUUAAUUAGUGAUUUAUUUUUUAUUGGUUUUAAUUAGUUAAUUAGUAAUUUUCAAUUUUAUAUAUAUUUUAAAAAAAUUAUUACAUAUAAUUUGAUUCAUUAAUGAAAAAAUAUGAGAGUAUUUUGAUUA